UACGGGGGGGGCAAGCGUUGUUCGGAAUUAUUGGGCGUAAAGGGUUCGUAGGUGGCCGGCUAAGUCAGACGUGAAAUCCCUCAGCUUAACUGGGGAACUGCGUCUGAGACUGGUCGGCUUGAGUGCAGGAGAGGAACGCGGAAUUCCAGGUGUAGCGGUGAAAUGCGUAGAUAUUGGGAGGAACACCAGUGGCGAAGGCGGCUCACUGGACCGGAACUGACGCUGAGGCGCGAAAGCGUGGGGAGCAAACAGG
rnacentral:rRNA from 1 species